AACGAACGCUGGCGGCAGGCUUAACACAUGCAAGUCGAACGAGAUCUUCGGAUCUAGUGGCAGACGGGUGAGGAACACGUGGGAACAUCCCUUUCAGUUCGGAAUAACGUUGGGAAACUAACGCUAAUACCGGAUACGUCCUUCGGGAGAAAGAUUUAUCGCUGAAAGAUUGGCCCGCGUCUGAUUAGCUAGUUGGUGAGGUAAUGGCUCACCAAGGCUACGAUCAGUAGCUGAUCUAAGAGGAUGAUCUGCCACAUUGGGACUGAGACACGGCCCAAACUCCUACGGGAGGCAGCAGUGGGGAAUAUUGGACAAUGGGCGCAAGCCUGAUCCAGCCAUGCCGCGUGAGUGAUGACGGUCUUCGGGUUGUAAAGCUCUUUUGUCCGGGAAGGUAAUGACUGUACCGGAAGAAUAAGCCCCGGCAAACUUCGUGCCAGCCGCCGCGGUAAAAC
rnacentral:rRNA from 1 species